rnacentral:rRNA from 1 species
AACGCGAAGAACCUUACCAACCCUUGACAUGGGGAUUAAGGACUCAAGAGAUUGGGUUCGUCAGUUCGGCUGGAUCCCGCACAGGUGCUGCAUGGCUGUCGUCAGCUCGUGUCGUGAGAUGUUGGGUUAAGUCCCGCAACGAGCGCAACCCUUGUCUUUAGUUGCCAACAGGUAUGGCUGGGAACAUUAAAGAGACUGCCGGUGAUAAACUGGAGGAAGGUAGGGAUGACGUCAAGUCCUCAUGGCCCUUAUGGGUUGGGCUACACACGUGCUACAAUGGUGGUGACAAAGAGGAGCUAAGGGGCAACCUGGAGCCAAUCUUAAAAAGCCACCUCAGUUCGGAUUGCACUCUGCAACUCGAGUGCAUGAAGUUGGAAUCGCUAGUAAUCGUAGAUCAGCAUGCUACGGUGAAUACGUUCCCGGGCCUUGUACACACCGGUAUCUC